UUUAAAAUAGGCCAUUCACUGAAGGUGCGCCUUAUAGUGCGGAAAAUACGGUAUUACAAAGAGUGCGCUGAGUCAAACUGUAUCAUCGUUAUUGAUUUAUUAAGGACCAACAAACUCCCAGCAGGGGGCUUCAGAAUAACAAUCAGCGUCACCCGGACUACCCAAGCCUGACGCUCUUUUAUGAUGUCAUCACAGGUGGCCAUUUGUAGUUUUUAACCAUGCGUAACAUUAACGCCACAAUUCUCUGUAUUCUAUUUUAGUUUGGAGUUUUAGGACAGACAUUUUAGGCUUUUCCCCCUCCCAAAUAAAGUUCUUUAUCAUUUUGUCCAGGGUUUUAAAUAUAGAGCGUUACAAAGAACAUAAGAUUGUCGUUGUUAAUUUUAUUGCUGAGUGCUUUUACACGGACAUGCCGGGUAAACUGUAAAUAAAGUGAAAACAAAACAUUAAUGCUUAGUAUCGCAAUAUUCAAUAAACACAAAUUUAAACAUAGAUUUAGGAGCUAGGCUUGACUUGACUAACUGGUUAUACGGCAAAGUUUAGUCUUAGAACACUUCGUAAUGUAAUAAACAUCGGCAUUAAAUUAUCACCAUGUAGCAAAACACAGCUAGCAUUUUAGCAUUUGGCUAUCUCAAAUUAUAUAUUUAUUUGGUGAUGUUCUCCACCAGAGCCAAAGCGCUGUGACACAAUUACGUUGUGCCGCGUAAUGCUGCUGCUUAUGUACGUGUGAUUGUAUACACACCUUGAUCACCUUAAAGUAAUCAAUCCUGUUUGGAGUUAAUCUGUUGAUCCAACCCCGUUUUCUUUUUUUAGUGAGAAUGAAAUGACCCCAUAGAUGCAUUUCAUGAGCUUCGAUGCACGGACCAAUGCGUUGCACCUUUAUGAGACAAAAACUGAGGCGAGUCAGUCAGCAGCAGCUCCAAUCCCAGCAUAACCUUUGACCCCUGUCCCAGUAAAAAAACAGUGCUAUCUAGAAACAACCAAUCAGAGGCAUCCAUCCAUCCAGCCCGCCUCACGGUAGAUGCUGCGCCGAUCCGCCUGUCGAUCUCCUGUUCCCUUCUUCCCUCAUUCGUGAACAAGAUCCCGGAGUUCACUGCCCCAAGU